rnacentral:lncRNA from 1 species
AGGUAGGAAAAGGGGCAUAGCUUAGGGGUGUGUCUGGAGCCCAACCUGGCAAUGGCACAUCUUGUCAGCAUGUCUGUUAAACUCAGCCCCACCUUUCUCAGAUCAGAGUUACUGCCCUCCACUAUCCCUCAGGCUUCAUACAAGGGGUUUGCUGGCUGUACAUAUGCAUACACAUACAUGGAGAAAAAAAACACUCAUACACAUAAAAUCAAUCAGUCAUCAAUUAGUUGGAGGGGCAGGCUUCAGUGCAGUGGGAAUGCAUGAGAGAAUUUGGUCAAGAUGCCAUUUGGGCACCCAGGGCAGGUUGGUGGCUCAUGGGCAGCUGGGAUAGGUGGUGACACAUGGCAGCUGGGGCAGGUGGUGGCACAUGGGCAGCUGGGGCAGGUUGGUGGCACAUGGGCAGCUGGGGCAGGUGGUGGCACAGACAACAGAAAUAAGCUGAUGGGGGGCUGGAGAGAUGGCUCAGUGGUUAAGAGCACUGACUGCUCUUCCAGAGGUCCUGAGUUCAAAUCCCAGCAACCACACGGUGGCUCACAACCAUCUGUAAUGAGAUCUGAUGCCCUCUUCUGGUGUGUCUGAAAACAACUACAAGUGUACUUAUAGAAUAAAUAAAAAUCUUUAAAAAAAAAAAAAAA